rnacentral:rRNA from 1 species
AUUGAACGCUGGCGGCAUGCCUUACACAUGCAAGUCGAGCGGCAGCGCGGGGGCAACCCUGGCGGCGAGCGGCGGACGGGUGAGUAAUACAUCGGAACGUGUCCUUUCGUGGGGGAUAACCAGUCGAAAGACUGGCUAAUACCGCAUGAGAUCUCACGAUGAAAGCGGGGGACCGAAAGGCCUCGCGCGAUUGGAGCGGCCGAUGUCGGAUUAGCUAGUUGGCGGGGUAAAAGCCCACCAAGGCGACGAUCCGUAGCUGGUUUGAGAGAACGACCAGCCACACUGGGACUGAGACACGGCCCAGACUCCUACGGGAGGCAGCAGUGGGGAAUUUUGGACAAUGGGCGCAAGCCUGAUCCAGCCAUGCCGCGUGUGUGAAGAAGGCCUUCGGGUUGUAAAGCACUUUCGGCCGGAACGAAAUCGCGCGGAUUAAUAACCCGCGUGGAUGACGGUACCGGAAGAAGAAGCACCGGCUAACUACGUGCCAGCCGCCGCCGUAACAC